rnacentral:rRNA from 1 species
GUGAACGCUGGCGGUAGGCCUAACACAUGCCAGUCGAACGGCAGCACAGUAAGAGCUUGCUCUUACGGGUGGCGAGUGGCGGACGGGUGAGGAAUACAUCGGAAUCUACUUUUUCGUGGGGGAUAACGUAGGGAAACUUACGCUAAUACCGCAUACGACCUACGGGUGAAAGCAGGGGAUCUUCGGACCUUGCGCGAUUGAAUGAGCCGAUGUCGGAUUAGCUAGUUGGCGGGGUAAAGGCCCACCAAGGCGACGAUCCGUAGCUGGCCUGAGAGGAUGAUCAGCCACACUGGAACUGAGACACAGUCCAGACUCCUACGGGAGGCAGCAGUGGGGAAUAUUGGACAAUGGGCGCAAGCCUGAUCCAGCCAUACCGCGUGGGUGAAGAAGGCCUUCGGGUUGUAAAGCCCUUUUGUUGGGAAAGAAAAGCAGCAGGUUAAUACCCCGCUGUCCUGACGGUACCCAAAGAAUAAGCACCGGCUAACUUCGUG